AUGAACGCUGGCGGCGUGCUUAACACAUGCAAGUCGAACGGAGCACCCCUGACGGAGUUUUCGGACAACGAAAGGGAAUGCUUAGUGGCGGACGGGUGAGUAACGCGUGAGUAACCUGCCUUGGAGUGGGGAAUAACAGCCGGAAACGGCUGCUAAUACCGCAUGAUGUAUCUGGAUCGCAUGGUUCUGGAUACCAAAGAUUUAUCGCUCUGAGAUGGACUCGCGUCUGAUUAGCUAGUUGGUGAGGUAAUGGCUCACCAAGGCGACGAUCAGUAGCCGGACUGAGAGGUUGGCCGGCCACAUUGGGACUGAGACACGGCCCAGACUCCUACGGGAGGCAGCAGUGGGGAAUAUUGGGCAAUGGGCGAAAGCCUGACCCAGCAACGCCGCGUGAAGGAAGAAGGCCCUCGGGUUGUAAACUUCUUUUGUCAGGGACGAAGCAAGUGACGGUACCUGACGAAUAAGCCACGGCUAACUACGUGCCAGCAGCCGCGGUAAUACGUAGGUGGCAAGCGUUAUCCGGAUUUACUGGGUGUAAAGGGCGUGUAGGCGGGAGUGCAAGUCAGAUGUGAAAACUAUGGGCUCAACCCAUAGCCUGCAUUUGAAACUGUACUUCUUGAGUGAUGGAGAGGCAGGCGGAAUUCCCUGUGUAGCGGUGAAAUGCGUAGAUAUAGGGAGGAACACCAGUGGCGAAGGCGGCCUGCUGGACAUUAACUGACGCUGAGGCGCGAAAGCGUGGGGAGCAAACAGGAUUAGAUACCCUGGUAGUCCACGCCGUAAACGAUGGAUACUAGGUGUGGGGGGUCUGACCCCCUCCGUGCCGCAGUUAACACAAUAAGUAUCCCACCUGGGGAGUACGAUCGCAAGGUUGAAACUCAAAGGAAUUGACGGGGGCCCGCACAAGCGGUGGAGUAUGUGGUUUAAUUCGAAGCAACGCGAAGAACCUUACCAGGACUUGACAUCCUACUAACGAAGCAGAGAUGCAUAAGGUGCCCUUCGGGGAAAGUAGAGACAGGUGGUGCAUGGUUGUCGUCAGCUCGUGUCGUGAGAUGUUGGGUUAAGUCCCGCAACGAGCGCAACCCUUAUUGUUAGUUGCUACGCAAGAGCACUCUAGCGAGACUGCCGUUGACAAAACGGAGGAAGGUGGGGACGACGUCAAAUCAUCAUGCCCCUUAUGUCCUGGGCCACACACGUACUACAAUGGCGGUCAACAGAGGGAAGCAAAGCCGCGAGGUGGAGCAAAUCCCUAAAAGCCGUCCCAGUUCGGAUUGCAGGCUGAAACUCGCCUGUAUGAAGUCGGAAUCGCUAGUAAUCGCGGAUCAGCAUGCCGCGGUGAGUACGUUCCCGGGCCUUGUACACACCGCCCGUCACACCAUGAGAGUCGGGAACACCCGAAGUCCGUAGCCUAACAGCAAUGGGGGCGCGGCCGAAGGUGGGUUCGAUAAUUGGGGUG
rnacentral:rRNA from 1 species